CACAGACUGCACUUUGUCGGUGAAGACCGAGCUGAGCCCUCUGUGCCUACUCGCAGUGGACUGGUCACUUCGGGGACGCCCAGGUGCUGGUGACGCCAUGUCAAGGCAACGCUUCCAAUACUUCCUAGAGUCUCUGUUACAGGACCAGUGGCUGAUACCAACUAUUUCCUCCAUCCAGGACUGGUUCGACGCCAUCGACGACUUGUGGUUUCAGGGAACUUUCAUAGACUUCACCCCUACGAAAGUAGCUGUCUAUAGCCACUGGGUUUUAUUUCUGGUUGCCAUGAUAUCCCCAGACCUGGCCCCCCGAACAUUCCUCCACUUCCCCUUCUAGGCCCUAUGCCGCCCCUGCACAGCUGGAAGCAGCCAGAUCUGACCAAUAAUGCCCCAAUUCCUAAGAAAACAAAAAGGGAGGAAUGUUGGGAAAACAUAUAACGGCAGCAGCACCCCAGAGAAAAACCCCAGCAUGGCGUCUAACGACCCUCUUUCUCCUCUUUGUUUCUUUCACUGGCGCAAAACGUUCCCGCCAGCGCCAAUGUUCAAACCCUGCUGGUGGGAAGCCUUAGCCCCAAUUAGAAUUAACUUCUUGGGCUCCGGAACUGACAUAUGGAAGAGCUUGCCAAUAAACGGGUGACCUGUUAUCUACCUCAGCCCUGUGACCUCUCCUUAGACCUAUAUAAACACACAGCCUUUUGUAAUAAAGCGGAAACCUCUUUGGUGA